rnacentral:lncRNA from 1 species
UCUGAUUGUAGCUUAAUAACUAUACGUUCCAUAAUCAUCAAAUAAUUAUUAUCUUCUAGUAUGGUGCAUCAACCUACCUCCCACCGCUGUUGUUCUAAGAUAAUUAAGUACACCAGAGAGCAAAACCAAAAGGAAUUGCCACUUCUGAGUUAUGACCAUAGAGUCUGGGAUAUUAUAUGUACUUUAACAAAUUCAUAUUAGCUAUUUUUCGUUAACAAUGAGUUCCACUACAUGUUAGGUUGAAAGAGAAACAUGGUUUUUCGAAUUUUCAGAACAUGACACAAACCAAGAACCAUUGGAAAGAGGAAACAUAGUGCUCUGAAGCUCUCCCAACAUUCAAAAUUCAAUGUUACUUAUGGUUGAUGUGGGUUCAUGCAUG